rnacentral:rRNA from 1 species
UACGGGGGGGGCAAGCGUUGUUCGGAAUUACUGGGCGUAAAGGGCUCGUAGGCGGCCAACUAAGUCAGACGUGAAAUCCCUCGGCUUAACCGGGGGACUGCGUCUGAUACUGGAUGGCUAGAGUUUGGGAGAGGGAUGCGGAAUUCCAGGUGUAGCGGUGAAAUGCGUAGAUAUCUGGAGGAACACCGGUGGCGAAGGCGGCAUCCUGGACCAACACUGACGCUGAGGAGCGAAAGCCAGGGGAGCAAACGGG